GCCCGUUGAGGGGGCGCAGCGGCCGGUUGUGGGGCGGUGUGCUUUGCCUUUGGCCAAUGGCGUAGGACUUCAGUUACGAGUUCCGCUGCGGUGAGGCCGAGGCAGGGUGCGUCGGCCGAGGUCCUAUAGUAAAGGCGGGGCUGAGGAUGGAGGGCGCAAGGAGCCGAUGCGUGCUCAGUGGGGGCAGCAUCUUUGAGGAUGAAGGCAUGAAGCUACGACAGCUGAAACUAGAGAAUCAGAGAGCUCUUCUAGAGAAAAAGCAGAAGAAGAAACGUCUUGAUCCCUUGAUGGUACAGCCAAAUCCCGAGGCAAAGCUGCACAGGUCAAAGCCCAAAGGGUUUGAGGAGCAGACUCCUUUAGUAGAAACUCCUACCACUUUCCACAGUGCUGUUGUGUUACAUGGCAUUGAUAGACCAGUUUCUUUCUUGAAAUCAGAAGUGCAAGAUUUAGGAAACAAACUCCAGACUUUCUCUGUUGGAUCUUCCAUAACAGCAGAAAAUGCAGAUGAGGAAAACAAUGGACAUGUUCUAACAGAAACAUUACGCAAUGCACAUCUGCAAGAAAUCUUACAGAAGCGAGGAAUUUCAGGCAGUUUGAAUUUUGAUGAGGAGGACACGGAAGAAGAGGAAGAAGUAAGUAAGAGACCAGCAUCUCAGUCACCACAUCCUGAAUCUGAGAGGCCUAGUUCUGCAACCAUCAAGAAAUCCUUUGCAGAAAUAGGUGCUUCCUGUAGUCCAUCCCACCAGACGGUUGCACAUCUGGGAGAAGUAGAGAACUUGGAGGAAUUUGCAUUGCGCCCUGCGCCCCAUGGUAUUACAGUCAAGUGUCGAAUCACUAGAGAUAAGAAGGGAAUGGACCGGGGCCUCUUCCCUACCUAUUACAUGCAUCUGGAAAAGGAUAACAACAGAAAGAUGUUUCUUCUUGCAGGUAGAAAACGAAAAAAGAGCAAAACAUCCAAUUAUAUCAUAUCUGUUGACCCAACUGAUUUAUCCCGGGAAGGGGAGAGUUUCAUUGGAAAACUCAGGUCAAACCUCAUGGGAACUAAAUUUACAGUCUAUGACCAUGGAGUUAGCCCAAUCAAGGCACAAGGUGAAGUAGAAAAGGCUCAUACUCGACAAGAACUUGCAGCUGUUUAUUAUGAAACCAAUGUGUUAGGAUUCAAAGGUCCCAGAAAAAUGUCUGUGAUCAUUCCAGGAAUGAAUAUGCAUCAUAAGCGAAUUCCAGUCCAGCCACGAAAUGAAAAUGAGAGUCUUCUGUCAAAAUGGCAAACCAAAGAUUUAGAGAACCUCAUUGAGUUGCACAACAAGGCUCCAGUCUGGAAUGAUGAUACUCAGUCCUAUGUUUUGAAUUUCCAUGGGAGAGUCACUCAGGCAUCAGUGAAGAACUUCCAGAUUGUCCACGACAAUGACCAUGUCGUUCUCUAUUGAAGAGUCAUCCUCUUUACCCGUGGCUACAGUCAAAGAAGAGAGCCAAUGUGAUGAAGGAUUUUUUUCCCCAACACAUUCUCUGAAGGAGAACAACUGUCAGCCUGGUGAUGAACCAUGUUCUUUCCCUGAGACACUCUGUAUUAAGGAAGAGGAAGGCUUACAGCUGGGAGACUGGCUGUCCCCUUUUGCUUCAACCGUAACUGUAAAGGAAGAGCCAGACUCAUUUGUCCCAGUCUCAGCCGUGAUGGAGAAGAAAUGUUUCACCAUACUGAAGUCACCAUCUAAGGGUGUUUCUGACGCAUUAGUUAUAAAGAGGUGUGAGAGGCGGGAAAUGAGCAGAUCCAGAAGGAAACAACACCUAGCACUGCCUUGCUCAGAAGAGCCUGUCCUUAUCUUCCCAGAGAGCAAUGAAUUUGAUCCUUUCCAGUUAGGGGCAGACCUCCCCUUACUGCAGGAAAACCAGCCUCUAGAGAAUGCAUCACAGCUGAGAUGCCUGCAGGAGGAAAGGGGGCCUUUUAAAACACCAGUCAAAGAGAUGUUCAGCAAAUUGCCAGUUUCUUCCACUCCCUGCAAAGUCCCAGCAACUACUACUCCCCCACUAGGGGGCCUUGAUCCCUGGAAGUCUGCACUGUCAGCCAAGAGAGGUAAUGAGCUGGAUUUCAGUCCAGUGAGAACCCUUCCGCUGCCGUUCACACCCUGCCAGGAGAACCAGGACUUGCUGGGUUUUAACAGCACACCCCUUAAAAGUCCUCUCCCUGAGUCUUCUUGGGAACUGCUCAAUACAGAAUCCAACGACACAGUACACAGCCCCCUCACAAGCUCUCCAUCUUUUAGUCACAAAUCUACGAAGCAGUUGUCCCUUGAACUGCCAGCCUCUGGUUUUACUGAAAACCGAUCACUCGUGGAGGGCCUGAUUUUGGACACCAUGAAUGACAGUUUGAGCAAAAUCCUUUUAGAUAUCAGCUUUCCUGGUCUUGAGGAUGAAAACUUAGGAACAGACAUUAGUUGGUCUCAGCUUAUACCUGAACUGAAGUAAACUGCCCAGAAGACUGAAUUUGGUUUAUUUGGACUUGACAGAAAGCACUCUCCUCUUCUGAGAUCUGUUCACGUAGUCAAAAGCAGACAGUCUUUUUAGACAAUUCCUUCAUUCGUGGAAAUAUUGACUCCUGCUAAGCUGGGAGACGGGCCUGUUGGCUGCUAUGAGCUGCCUUUUUGAGCUGCAGUGGACUAUUUGUGUGGAUCAAGAUAGAACCUCUCUAAUCUGGUGCUAGAGUGGAGAGUCCCUGGAGAGGGGUUAUCAGGAAAGCAUCUAGAUAGGCCCUGAACAGCCCUGGCUAAUCAAGGUAUUAGAGGAAACGGGUACACUCCUCAAUUAUGCCCCCCAAUAGCAAGGGCUCUGAGCAUUUCCUCCUUCUCUGUCCUUACUUUCUUUUACUUUGUUCUGAUCUUAUUUAGCAUCUUCUGUGUAGGUUUAAUGGAUUUAAGCCCCGUACAUUCCUUAAAUUACUAGCUCUUUAUUAUAACGGUAACUUUAUUCUUGUAGAGUUAUUAGGGAAAUAUUUGAGUUGGUAAAGGAUUUAGCUUAGUGUUGUCCAUAUGUUCCGCCUGCCCUGUAUUCCUCUAGAUGAGAGCCCCAAAUGCCAUUUUCUUUUAGUCCAAAAACACACUGGCCUUGAAAGUUGCCAAGGCAGAAAUCUGAAAAAUCGUCUAUGUGUGACUGAGUGACUACUCAAGCUAAACAGAAAAAAAAUUGUUAACUGGAUUGCAGCAUAAAAUCUUGGUUCAUUUUUCCUUCUCAGCUCUUCUUCCCUUCCCAGGCUGGAAUGGAGAAGAGCUGUAACUCUUGGUUCCACAGUCCUAUUAAUAUGUAUGUAUAGGACUUGGUAGAGUCACAGUUGCAGUAAGAUGGAUUUCUACAGAAUGGUUAAAGCAGCUUUCUUUUCAGACAUCAGCUGAAAAUGUGAAACAGAACCUGUAAAGUGAAUACUGGUAUUUUCACUGACAAGUGACCUCUGGGAACAAAAGGUAUGUUUCUCCCAUUGCAAUAGAGCUACUCUUCCCAGUUCUUUAGAACUCACCUCAAAGGAGGAAGUGGCUGUGAAAAGACCUAAUCAUUCUGCUUCCAGACAAGUGAUGACUCAUGCAUCUACAUACUCAAUAAAUUUUUUUGCGGGAGCGCAGUUGAGUAUCAUCUUUACUGCAGCCACUUUUAGCGAUGUGCUUUGGCUGGACCACAGCAUGAACAAAUGCUUUUUUGCUUGCCUUGACGUGGGCUUUAGCCUUGGAUCUUAGUUCUGGGAAAAGAGGCAGGUUGCUGUGGGAGGGGAGAGUAUCAGUGGGAAGAUGAUGUGUUUAGUACAAAUCUGCAUUUCUAAGAACCGCUCCAUACAUCGGUGCUGCUUUGCAAGAAAGGGCUGUUCAUACGGUAGUUUCAGUAGCAGGCUAACCAACCACAGCCACGAUCUGGGCAAACUUCAAUUCAUGUAUCAGUAUUUACAAGACAUCAGUAGAAACACCUUACCUCAGAAGUUUCCCCAGAUCUUAGUGAUCUUUCUUGGUGCUGUGCCAAGGACAGUCCCUGAAAGUCUCUUACUGCCUGAUGUCAGUAAGUUAUCAUGAAAUUUUCUUUUACCUCAGGCAACAUAAUUUCUUGGAAUCUCUUUGUCCUACCUGAAGCACUGAGGGGAGGAUUGAAAUUCCUUUAAGCAGUCAUAGAGCGUGAAAAGGUAUAAGAAAUGAAAAAGGAAUAGAGAGGCCAAGCACGUCCUUCAGGCUUUUCACCCACUGCUGUAUCACAAGAAGCUCCACUAGAGAUGCUGAGGGAAAGUGCACUAAGUUGAAUCCUCUGUUUUGGAAUUCAGGAUAUGCCUAAUGCAUGUCUGAUCUCUGGUCUGUCUUACACAGUGAUUUGGUACAAAACAUGCAGCAAAUCCACUUCUGAUGGGUAGAGAACUACAGACUCUGAUGUUGUGGGCCCACAUAAUAAAAUGGGAGGCAUUACUUUUGGAGCAGCCCGUGUGUGUGUCAAAGAAAUGAUGGACAGUGCAGUUGCUCACCACCUGCUGACUGAUGCCUAGCCAGUCACCUGAGCAAUGGCAGGUGCCUAUCACAGCUGAAACCAGGACAAUAUCCACUCUUAUUCCAUACCAUUUACAUCGUGCUCUCAGGUCCCAUGCUUGCCAACAUACCCUGGUUAAUCACCACCACCUUUGCUUGGCUCCAUGAAAAUUCAUCAAAAUCUUCCAUCAAAAUCUGUGUAACUUAGUGAAGUAAUAUUGAAACAGCAACCACAGUAGUGUUGACAUACAAUAUUCUAUAGCAAUUAACAUAUGAGCGCGUCUCCAAAAGUAAUGCCUCCUAUUUUAUUAUGUUGGCCCAUGAUGUCUGAGGCAGAUGGUGGUGGUAUGGCAGUAGAGGUUGAACCUUCCCACUAAUAUUCCAUUACAUUUUGUUGCUGUGUGACGGAUGGAAGCUUAGGGGCAGUCUGGCAAAAUGGCGUCAGACGUGCACGUGCGCAUGAAGCAAAGAUGUGGAACUGAACUCGUCCGUGCAGAAGAAAUUGCAGCCACUGACAUUCAUCGACGCUUCCUGAACGUUUAUAAGUAACAAAUAGUGGAUGUUAGUGCAGUGAAGCGGUGGGUGGUGUGUUUCAGCGGUGACAGCAACAGUGGGUCACCUCUGCUGGUGCAGAUAUUUACAAGUGCGGCACUCUCAUUCAUGGCUGGCAAAGGUGCAUAGCUAAUGGCAGUGACUGUUGAAAAAUACCGUUUUGUAGCUCUAUCACAUAUUGGGCUCUUCGUAUCUGUUGUAGUUUCCAUGGAAACAAAGAGGAGGCAUUACUUUUGAAGCAAGGAACAUACAAUUCAUAUCACUGGUUGUUCUCCCCCAGAAUCAAAUCCCCCUGAAGUACACAUCAGAAUUCCCCAUCCUGCCAUAUUACCCACAACAUCCACCCCAGUCCUUGAGCAAAAGUAGUCCCACAGAUAGGCUUGCCCAAACCAGGAGUAACUAACUCGACCUAUUUUCCCCAGCAUGUUCUUUAUUAUGUGCCCUAUGGGAACUUUGCCUGUUUCUACAGCACAUAGGGGUUUUGAUUAGGCAGUGUCAGCUCAAUUGGCAAAUCCUCUAGUGUUAACUAACAAAGUGGCCUUUGCUAAAUGUGUAUCUUAACACCCUCAGCUUCCAUGGGUGCUGUCAGUGGGUGCUGUCCCAGCACCUAUUGCUCUCAGAGUAGUGUUUAACAGUCCAUGGUAUCAUUCAAUUUUUUCCAUGAGCUGGUGUGAUAGGCUAUCAACAGUUUACAGGCUAGUUUGGCCCGGCUCCAUGACUAGCGGGGCAGGGGGACCCAUGCCCCAGGAAAGGGAAAAGGGUAAAAGGGUAGAGAGAUGGGCCUAAAACAAAAAGCAGCGGCAAUGAUCUGAGGAGAAACAAACUAAUUUACUAAAUGAGAUAUCAGAAUGCAAGAUAACACACUAUAAUACGGUAUAAUACAGUUGAAGCUAAUAAAUCAAAUAAAAUGAGAGUGUCCGAAAAGUCAAAGGCCUUAGUCUAAGCAAGCUGAGACAAUGUGCCUGGGAGCAGAGACGAGCCAGAAUCAAAAGGGGAGGUCAAGUGACGUACGAACAGUUUUCAUCUUUCCCUCUGAGCAAACAGUCCUCUGGGAGAUGUAGUUCUCUUCUGGGGUAGGUACCCGGAACUGGAGCAUUAACUCUUUAACUCCCAGUGCACUACAUGAUGUUAUGUGGAAUACCAAUAACAAAAAAUCAUAAAACCAUGACAUAGGAGAUGUGAUAUACCCAGUCAAUGCCAUGCUCUUUGGCCCAGGUGUCAUGAGACUUUUUUUCAUAAAUUAGUCCAGCUGUCAAAGUCAGCUCUUUCUUCGGUGCCCUCAGCUGUAAGUCUUGCUUCUGAAGGCCCGGGAUAGUGUUUCGGACAGUGGCAUGGGGCGUAGGAUGUGCUUUAGCCACCUGGUGGUUACUUCCACCAUUGUAAGCAUGUGUUGCUUACUGUAUCAGAUCUGUGGAAGUGUGAUAUCUAUCAGCUCACCCCGUAUUUAUAUUCCAGCCACAGUUCUACAUACCAGAGGGGCUUUAUCCACUUGGCUUCCUUGAUUGAAGCACAUUUUGCAUUUGUGGAUAAACUGUGCAAUAGUGUCCAUGGUCAAGACUUCCCCUCAAACAUUUACAUGUUUGAGCCCAUUUAUAUGUUGCAUCUUUUCCUAGGUGGCCUGACAUAUGAUGGACCUAUCAAGCUAUAAGUAAUUCAGCCUUAUGUUGCCAGUCCAGAUCUUCCUGAACCACUUCAAUUUCAGUAGCCUCUUUUGUAGCCUAUUUUGAUGUUCUUCAGUGGCCCAAUUCAGAUACAUGAGCAUCUACAUGAUGUGUCAGGCAGCAACAAUGGAAGGCCAUCUAGAUGGCCUUCACCUCUGCACAUUGGCUUGAUUCACUAAAUUCACUUGAUUCACUUGAUUUGCUAAAUGUGUCUCUCAGUGCUCUUAAAGUGUCCCUGCAUCCACUGCUCUCAGAGUAGUCUUUAACAGUCCAUUGCAUCAUUCAGUUUUUUCCAUGGGCUGGGGUAUGUCUUUUUCCAUAGUGACUGGAGAAUGAGAUGCUGGAGAGCAGCCUCACUGAAUAAGAUGUGAGGCUCAUGUGGCACACCAUGAUGAAUUCUUCCUCAAAAUGUUCUAAAUAAAAUUUAAGACACAAGAGACAACGGAGGCAGAUUUGUAGGGACACAGUAGGAAGGAGCUGGGUAAACCAAUUAGUACGUUAGCGUUUUAACUCAGUCGUCUAAAGAAAAUUUUCUUCAGGUCUCCUGAUAUGCAUAAUGGAUUUUGAAGUUGGGAGGGAUACUUCUGUGCAAAUAAUUUUUAUUUUUAAGUUAAUUCAAAUAAUUAAAAAUAAAAGGGAGAUAAAAAUAAUAAGGCAGAGAAAAAGUGCUACUAUUGUAAUAUUGCUUGAAGGAGGGAAUAGGUGAAUUCCCUUGGGUCGUUUUUGACUAUGAUCCGGCUUUCGCAGGUGUUAAUAACGGUCAAUUUCCAAAUGUUAAAACAAGAGAGGAGAAAGAAGACUAGCAUGGUAGAAGACUGAUCCACUGAUCAGAAAUGACCAGUGAGAAAAGAAAAUUUGUAAAAGACCAUGAAGGACCUUUGGGACUUAAUGGUGAAGAAGUGUUGUGUAUUUGCUGUUAUGAAGAAGAGAUGAGCAGUGUUGGCAAAAUGUGGAGAGAAGACAAAACAGAUAUUUGGGAAAACAACUCAGUGGCUCUUCUCUGGAUUGCUGUGAGCACAGUAGGCCAGAAAGGAGGAUUGAGGGUUCAGAAAUAGAUGUGUUAGGAGGGUAGCUUAAGCAAUGAAGUUGAUUGAUGGGAUAGGAAAAGAGAAACUAUGUAGUGAACAAGACCAGCUGUCAGAUCUAAUUCAAACCUGCCUCAAGGCAAGUCUGGCAGGCAUGACAGGAUAAAUGACUGCUACCAAGCUGGGACUGCCUACUUUGCCAGCUGUGCCAGUUAGGUGCGAAUGUAUAUUUUCAGUGUAGUGAUGGGUUGGUCAUGGAAUGUGCUCUGCAGAUGAGGGAAGACUGGGAAGAGAAGACAGAAAGGGAGAAGGGGUGCACAGAGCCCCCACAGAAAAAAAAUGGGAGUCAUUUUAAAGUCGACUACCUAGCAGAGUGAUUUGAUAAAAGCCAUAGGGGACGUCCCAUUGCUGUUAUGUGAAUAGUUUCCUUUCUCGGAUGCUCUCAGGACAGUUAAACUCUCACUAAACAAGCACUUCUGGCUGUACUGUAGCCGUUUAACUGUGCGGGGUGAAAGCCACGUCCCUGAGGUAGCUCCGAAGAGGCCUGUGAGUCAGGCCUGGCUGCAAGGGGCUAGUCGCGGGGGUGUGCUGGGCUGGGAUCACCGCCCUGAAGGGCCGAACUGUGGCUGUCGCAAGAGCGCUUGGACCCUGCAGUCUAAGGGGGCUGCAUGGGGGCUGGCAGCUGUUAGAUCACCGCCUGGGCUGCUACUGAACACUCUGUAGCCCCGGGGCUUCCGGUGCGAGCGCUGGCUUCUCGUCCGCGUACCCCCACGUCUGGGAAAACAACAGGCGGGAGGCGGCGUUUCCGCGGCUUGUCCACCGGUUGAGGCCGAGCCGUCCUGAACAGCGAUUGUAACUUCUUUUCCCGACUCUCACCGCCGCACUGAUUUCUGGAGGUGGCCGUGUCCCUUCCGCUCCCGGCACCCCUGCAGCCAAGCUCUCUCGGCUCUCCUGGCUUUUCCUUCGCGGCCGCCUAGAGUUUCCUUCCUCUGCUCCCGUUUGUGGGGCAGCCCGCCCCUGCGGGCUUUUUCUUCCGGCCAUUGCCCCACGAUCCCCCCCGCCUCCUCCCCGAGCACGCACGUCCCCGAGCCGGAGAGGGCCGAUCCCCUGUGGAUUUUGUUCACAACUCCGCCUCGGCCUUUCUCUCGCCUCCCCCUUCUUCCCCCGGCCAGUCCCCUCCCUAACCCUCUUCCAUCCUCUACAUUAGAUGGGAGUCCCCUCCCUCAGUCGCGUUCAUUUCAUACCAACUCUCAUUCCACGCGUUCCUCGUUUACUCCUUUAAAACUCCAGGGAAAAUAAAAACCCUCUCUUUUCUUCCCAAAUUCUGGCGGAACGCUGCCUCCCCCCGCCGCCGUGCAGUCUCGCCGUCCGGCCCGCCGCUCCGUACUCUUCAGACCUUUACCAUGCAUGAGAGCUGCUGUUACUUCAGCACUUCUGGCCUGAUAUUAAGGACCUCUUUGCAGAGAGGACAGAAAACAGAUGCGAAACACAUUUCCUUCUCCCUUUUAAAUAAAAGACUUCUGCUGAAAGCUGGAGCUCUAGAGUACUCAACUAAGAACAGACAUCUAGCCUGGGAACAUUGUGCCCUGUGACACCAGAAGAAAAUAGAAGAGAGAAAAUCUGUAAAGGCUACAGCCUUUACUAAGAAGAAACACACUAGAAGUUUUUGUCUUACCUAUUACUGCCCUGUUAAUAAAGUCCAUGGAAGUUUUCUGAAAAUA